CUUACCUUCUUUUGCUGAGAUCAACGAAACCUUCGUGGGACAAAAUGCUCUGGUUAGUGGCUGGGGACUGACUGGCGACAGUUCAAGCUGUUCUGAGAUUCUAAUGUGGACUGAGCUUGAAGUCGUAUCGUAUAAAACAUGUUUGGGUUACUAUUACCCAGGUGUUAUUCUUAAAAGUACAUUGUGCGCCAACAGGGCGGACUCUGAUGUCUGCCGGGGAGACAGCGGCGGGGCUCUUGUUCUCAAGACGGCAACAGGCUACAAGCAGAUCGGUGUGUCGAGUUUUGGGUCACCUGGGGGAUGCCACACACCGACGCCAUCUGCUUUCGCCAGGGUGACCUCCUUUCUCGACUGGAUCACCAAAACUGCCGAAAUCAGUGUUUAGCGAGAAGCUAGCAUUGCCUGCUAGAUGGUUAGUUUGUGGAGCCAUCUGGUAGUCUCUUCUAACAUGAACUGAGUGAAGUUGUCACUCUGGAAGUAACAUUUGUACAAGGAAGCGGUAAUCUGACGAAAUAAUGUGUGUGCUUUGGGGAGAAAAUUUUUAUUGUGAAGUUACAUGUUUUUCUCCCUCUUUUUAUGAUGUUCAGUGGAUCAGAACAGUUAACAUCUAGCUUAGCUCCUUAGGUGCUUUAGAUACUGUGUUUUCCCAAAUAUGCUGAUGGAAUUACUUAAGUGUGACAUGUAUGGAUCUUCGCUGAAAUAACAGUAAUUAUCAAUCUAGGCAGAACAUUUAGUAAUUGAACAAAAUAACACGAUCUAGGACUUCUACAUCGACGUUUUAGCAUAUGUCUCCACAGUUACAUUUGAAAGAAGUCUUUGAGAAGGACCAGAUUGUGGUGAAGACUACAUCUUGAUCAAAAUAAUAAAGUGAUUCACAGCUGAAA